GCCUAUGUUGUCUCGAGUCAAAAUUCCAUGUCGAAGUGCCAAAACGGGAUUGAUCUGCGGUGAUAUACAGUGAAUAUAUACUGAAAACAAUAGUUCCACAAUAUCCCACAGUGUAUAAUAAAAUAUGGGGAAGAAAUAUGCUGAUUUCUACACUGAUAUACAAUGUGUCAUUGGAGAUAUACAUGAAAAACGCAGAAAAGGGGGACUGAUAUACAUCCAGUAUACAAAUGGUAUACAACUACAGAAAUGGACUAAAAGUCCAUAAAG
rnacentral:lncRNA from 1 species